rnacentral:rRNA from 1 species
AGUGAACGCUGGCGGCGUGCUUUACACAUGCAAGUCGGACGAGUGGCGAACGGGUGAGUAACGCAUCGGAACGUACCGAGUAAUGGGGGAUAACUGUCCGAAAGGACAGCUAAUACCGCAUAUUAUUCGAGCGGCCGAUGGCUGAUUAGCUGGUUGGCGGGGUAAAGGCCCACCAAGGCGACGAUCAGGAGCGGGUCUGAGAGGGUGAUCCGCCACACUGGGACUGAGACACGGCCCAGCCUCCUACGGGAGACAGCAGUGGGGAAUUUUGGCCAAUUGGCGCAAGCCUGAUCCAGCCUUGCCGCGUGUCUGAAGAAGGCCUUCGGGUUGUAAAGGACUUUUGUCAGGGAAGCGGUACCUGAAGAAUAGCCACCGGCUAACUACGUGCCAGCAGCCGCGGUAAUAC